UGUAAAGUUCAAGCUCCGAUAUGUGAGGGCGAAACCGCGAAUGGCUCAUUAAAUCAGUCAUGAUCUACUUGAUUGUUUAAAGUUUAUAUGGAUAACUGUGGUAAUUCUAGAGCUAAUACAUGCGUGAAAGGGGCGACUCGGCGACGAGAAGCUCUGCGUUUAUUAGACUAAGACCGAUAGUAACUAGCAAUAGUUACUUUUCUAAGGUGGUGACUCUGAGUAAACAAUGGGUGUAUGCCCAUGUUGCCGACCUGGCAUUCAAACUGGGGGUCAAACUUCAGGCCAGGCGAAUCAAUCGAGUGUCUGCUCUAUCAACUGUGGAUGGUAGGGUAAUUGCCUACCAUGGUGGUGACGGGUAACGGGGAGUUAGGGCUCGACUCCGGAGAACAAGCCUGAGAAACGGCUAGUAGGACUAAGGUCUGCAGCAGGCGCGAAACUUACACAAUGCUAGAUUUUUGAUGAUUAGCGAUGUAGUGAAGAAAAAUAACGAUGUGCUUGUAUUUUAACGUACUUGCACAAUUGGAAUGAGACGACUUUAAAAGGGUCAGUCGAGUAACAAAUGGAGGGCAAGUCUGGUGCCAGCAGCCGCGGUAAUUCCAGCUCCAUUAGCAUACAUUAAAGUUGUUGCGGUUAAAAAGCUCGUAGUUGAAUUUUGGACGAGUUCUUGGGUUGGGCGGCCGUCAAGGGGCACUUCGGUGUCCUGGUCGUCUUUUACCUGUUGAGCUCGUUGUUUCGUCACUUAAUCGAGUGCGAAGCGGGGCGGAAUGAGUAUAAAACUUCGGUUUUUCAUUACGCCAUGUUUACCUUGAGAAAAUUAGAGUGCUCAGAGCAGGCAGUUGGGAUGUAAAAGUCUCUUUAUGCUUGAAUAAUGUUGCAUGGAAUAAUAGAAUACGGCCUCGGUUCUAUUCUGUUGGUCUUAUAGAACAACAAACAAGUUGGUUAUGGCGUUAAAUGUUUCAAUUUGGAGUGGCAUUGCAUUGCUUGUUGUCUUGAACCUAAAAAUUCAAGUACCAUCAGUGUUUUGUCAUUAAAGCUCCACUUUGUAAGCAAGCCACCAGCCAACUGAGGCAAUGGUUAAAAGAAAUAGUCGCGGCGGCAUCAGUACUGCAUCGUGAGAGGUGAAAUUCUUAGACCGAUGCAAGACUAACUGAAGCGAAAGCGUUUGCCGAGGAUAUUUUCAUUAAUCAAGAACGAAAGUUAGAGGUUCGAAGGCGAUCAGAUACCGCCCUAGUUCUAACCAUAAACGUUGCCAACUAGCAAUUGGGUUGCGAUUCCUUUAGUUGGAGCCUAAAAAACUCCAACCAUUAUGAUCCACCCAGCGGCUCUCGUAGGGAAACCAAAGUGUUUGGGUUCCGGGGGAAGUAUGAUUGCAAAGUUGAAACUUAAAGGAAUUGACGGAAGGGCACCACCAGGAGUGGAGCCUGCGGCUUAAUUUGACUCAACACGGGGAAACUUACUAGAUUAGAACUCUGGAAUGAUUGACAGAUUGAUAGCUCUUUCUUGAUUCAGAGGAUGGUGGUGCAUGGCCGUUCUUGAUUCGUAUUCCGAAACGUCUGCUUAAUUGCGAUAACGAGUGAGACCUCCUGAUGUUAACUAGUUGCAUGGUGCGCUAGGGACGCAAAAGUCGUCUGAUCGUUCUAGUGUCUGGGCUUCGGUUCAGAUACACCGGUUAGCGAUGUCCUCUGCUCGCCUGCAGACUUCUUAGCACGAUUUGCAGCAAAAAGCUGCCAGAGACGAGGCAAUAACAGGUCUGUGAUGCCCUUAGAUAUUCUAGGCCGCACGCGUGCUACAAUGGCGUGUGCAGAAAGCUUGUUCGAGGUUCGUCCGGAGAGAACUGCUUGUUUGGUGUUAUUCGGGGCAACUCGGAUGAUAUCGGCUUGUAAGUGACUCCGGUUCCCGAGCUAAGAGAAACCGCUGCCGAAAGGUAGUGGCAAUCAUAAAUACACGCCGUGAUUUGGGAUUGGGGAUUGCAAUUGUUGCCCAUGAACGAGGAAUUCCCAGUAAGCGCAAUUCAUCAUAUUGCGUUGAUUACGUCCCUGCCCUUUGUACACACCGCCCGUCGCUACUACCGAUUGGAAGUUUUAGUGAGGCAUCUGGACUUGCUGGCCAGGAGGAGGGCAACCUCCUCAGGCUUGGCGGGGAAGUUUGUCGAACUCAAAUUUCUAGAGGAAGUAAAAGUCGUAACAAGGUUUCCGU
rnacentral:rRNA from 1 species